rnacentral:misc_RNA from 1 species
UUCCUGAUUUUCCCAUCGUUCGGGGCAUUCUGGGGCUGUUUUGGCUAUUGGUUGCUUGUUUGGUCUUGAGCCGAACGGGUGGCUUCUAGUCUGGUGGCUUCGGGGAUGUUGACCGUAAAGGUGGAUGAGUGGUGUUUGGUUUGUUACGUGUGGUUGGCUGCGGCGUUUGCAACAACUUCCAUGCUUUCAGACCUCUUCAGUUGUGCGGCAAGGCUUGUAUCGCCUUGAGCGUAUUGUGGGUUUUCUGUGUUGGCUACCUAAUCAAUGGUAUCGGUUGGAUUGAUCAAUGUUUCAUUUCGUCUACCGUCGCAUUCGCGGCGUGAGAUGAACCUUGAUGCGGUCUCUUUGAUCCACCUCGUCGAAGCGCAUGCUUUGNCGUUGUGGCACAUUGAGCAUUGCUUGGUCUCUUGUAUACGGAACAUAUAGUGGGCAUGGAUCUAACGAUUCUCGUUUGCCCUCAUAUUAGCGUAACGCUUCUCUUACACGACUUGCUCCACGUUUUAG